rnacentral:piRNA from 1 species
UGUGCUAGGCGUGAGGCUUCCCAUCC